rnacentral:rRNA from 1 species
CUCAAAGAUUAAGCCAUGCAAGUGGUUAUAUUAACCCGACAGUUUAAAUAAGUGUUAACACGUACAACGGGUGUAUUUACUUAUACACACCACACACACACACACACACGAUACGCUAAAACAACGUAUCACUUAUGCAACUGCAGACAGCUGCUUAAUACAGUCACACUUGUCUUGACUUGGCACAAAUUAUGUUGUUGACAUCGAUUUCCUACGUUGUUAUCUCAACACUCACACACUCAUUUAUGGAUAACUCAGGGAAAGUUUGGCUAAUACGUACGAGUCACAUUACACACAUACACGCUCAACACAAAAUAUACUCAGCACUCAAUGGUAGACUUUGUGCACUUCGGUGCGCUGUUUAAAGUUUAACCGCAACAUGAGAGACAUUGAGCACGCAGUGGGUUUCCGCCCACACUACGCUGAGCAGACUUUGCGAAUCUUAUUUGCGAAGCAUGUCAUACAAGCAUCUACAGCAUCAAGUCACAGGGUUGGCACGUGUAUUUUUGAACCUUCAAAGCAGUCACGCAUACGGAAGAGUAGUUUCUGAUCCCAUAGAAGGAGCACCGUACAAUGAGAGACGGCUCUUAGUUCUAAGGAACGCAGCAGGCGCGUAAAUUGCCCAAUGUUAGUACCCUACAAUAUGUUGUCACUUUAUUUAAACACACACACACACUAAAAAAACUAAAUCCUUGUUUAUAAACUGACACUCAAUUUUAUUGAGGCAGUGACAAGCUGUAACGGUUGAGUAUGUUUAUGACGAAUGUCUGACCUUGCCGCUUCUCACGGAGCUUGGCGGGCUGUCGACAUUUUGUGUGCUCAAUUGGAAUGCGGUGAGUUUAAGCAACUCAGAACCUUUGUAUCGGUGUUUGGUAACAUUCGCCUGUACUUUAAUCUGAAUUUCAAGUGGAGGGCAAGUCUGGUGCCAGCAGCCGCGGUAAUACCAGCUCCACUGGCCUAUACAAUCAUUGUUGCGGUUAAGAGGCUCGUAGUUGGAUUGAACUAUAGAUAUAUUGUCAUAAUAUGUCUGUUUAUUCGACAUACACACACACACACACACACUCGUUCGAAUAUAACGUGCGCGUAUUGUGACAAAGUGUACACACACACACACACACAAAAUAUACAUUUUUCAACACUGUGAACAAAUCAGAGUGUAUCAAACAGGUCGUUUUAUCGUGCGCCUUGAAUGUCUUAUCAUGGGAUGUUGCCACUAUAAAAAAUAUAGACCUCUCACACACACACACGCAUUCGUACUGAGUAGUUUUUUAUAUUUCAUGUCGAUGGGGAUAGUUGGAGUCAACAGUACUGCUGGGCGAGAGGUGAAAUUCAUUGACCCUAGCAAGACUACCAAAAGCGAAAGCAGUUGGCUAGGCUAUACUCUUUGUGAUGUUAUACGCACACACACACACACACACAAAUUUAUAGUAUACACACUUUACAAUGAAGAACGAAGGUUGGGGGAUCAAAGAGGAUCAGAUACCCUCGUCGUCCCAUUAAUUACAUCAAACGAUGGGCUCUCAAUUGCAUACUACAGUCAUGUAGUCUGUGUGAAGUUUCCUCAACCUGCAAAACAUGUCUAUGGCUUGAGCUCGUAUUCCGAUACGCUCGCCGUUAACUUUGUUAGCAUGGUCUCGAUGGACUUUUCUGUCUACAUACAAUCUUUGCGUGUAAGCAUUGCUUUCGACUCUUCAUAGUUGAAACUGCGUGCACUUGAUUUUCGGAGCUUUGCGCUCAAUAUUUAAUCUGGUGAGAUGUAAGCAUCACGUGGCUGUUGACCGCAAUUGCAUUGCUUUGGCUUUGUUCAGUUGUCGCGCGCAACGGUCACUUAUUUUUUGAUGUGAAGCACGCGUUAGGCACGCGCUUACUGCAGAAAUGUCUGAGACACUUCUUUCCUGGGGUAGUAUGCACGCAAGUGUGAAACUUGAAGGAAUUGACGGAAGGGCACCACAAGAACGCGUGGAGCAUGUGGCUUAAUUUGACUCAACGCGGGAAAUCUUACCGGGUCCGGACACACUGAGGAUUGACAGGUGUUAUCGUAUUAUGCUUCGGCAUGAUACGUGUUAAAUAUGCUAGUCCUUUCAUGAUUAUGUGAUAGGUGGUGCAUGGCCGUUCUUAGUUCGUGGAGUGAUCUGUCUGCUUAAUUGCGUUUCACUACGAAUCCGCGCAUUAAACGUACGCUCGUGAGAUGGUUUGACCCCUGACCUCGGUCAGUCGCGUGUCUCGCCAUCAUACUCACAGCGUGCUAAGUGGAUUCCAGAAAGCAACGAACGUGACCGCAACCUCUUGUUGCCUGUAACCACCAGAAAGUUCUCUUUCUGACAAACAGGCCAUUUAUAAUAAACUAGAGGGACCGCUGUCAACUCCUUAAACCAGAGGAAGGUUGCGGCAAUAACAGGUCUGUGAUGCCCUUAGAUGUUCCGGGCUGCACACGUGCUACAAUGAUUAUUGCAGUGAGCAUCUCAUACUAUACAUCGCAGCGUAAGUGCUUUAAACUUCGGUUUAUUGCUACUUUUUGCGCGAUAAAGCCUGCUUCGAAAGUAAGUGGGUAAUCAAUUAGAAGUAAUGAUUUCCCUUUUUAUGCACAAAAAUGUUCGGCACUGCUUCCCUGUUUGUCUUAUUGACAUCUGUGUGUUUGUAGUGAGUCUUUUUUGACUUUUUACCGUUCGUGCAAUUGUCAAUUCAUGGUGGGGACAGACCAUUGUUAAUUGUUGGUCUCGGUCUUAACUAGGAAUGCCUUGUACGGGUCUUUGGUUCAACAAACCACCCGGAAUACGUCCCUGCCCUUUGUACACACCGCCCGUCGCUCUUACCGAUGGAUUUCUCUGUGAGUUUGAAGGACUGGCUCUUACGUGGCUAUGGAAAUUCAAA